rnacentral:tmRNA from 1 species
GGGGGCGAAUUGGGUUCGACGUUUUUAUUGGAUUCCAAAGCGCAUGCCAAGAUUGUGGUAACUCUUGUAAAACAUACUACAAAAAAAUUA